rnacentral:rRNA from 1 species
ACAUCCAGAGAACUUAGCAGAGAUGCUUUGGUGCCUUCGGGAACUCUGAGACAGGUGCUGCAUGGCUGUCGUCAGCUCGUGUUGUGAAAUGUUGGGUUAAGUCCCGCAACGAGCGCAACCCUUAUCCUUUGUUGCCAGCGAUUCGGUCGGGAACUCAAAGGAGACUGCCGGUGAUAAACCGGAGGAAGGUGGGGAUGACGUCAAGUCAUCAUGGCCCUUACGAGUAGGGCUACACACGUGCUACAAUGGCGCAUACAAAGAGAAGCGACCUCGCGAGAGCAAGCGGACCUCAUAAAGUGCGUCGUAGUCCGGAUCGGAGUCUGCAACUCGACUCCGUGAAGUCGGAAUCGCUAGUAAUCGUGGAUCAGAAUGCCACGGUGAAUACGUUCCCGGGCCUUGUACACACCGCCCGUCACACCAUGGGAGUGGGUUGCAAAAGAGGUAGGUAGCUUAACCUUCGGGAGGGCGCUUACCACUUUGUGAUUCAUGACUGGGGUGAAGUCGUAACAAGGUAAGCGUAGAUGA